AUCCUGGCUCAGGACGAACGCUGGCGGCGUGCCUAAUACAUGCAAGUCGAGCGGAGGAAGCUCCUUCGGGAGUGGAAUCAGCGGCGGACGGGUGAGUAACACGUGGGCAACCUGCCUGCAAGACCGGGAUAACUCCGGGAAACCGGGGCUAAUACCGGGUAGGAUCUUCCAUCGCAUGAUGGGAGAUGGAAAGGCGGCUUCGGCUGUCACUUGCAGAUGGGCCCGCGGCGCAUUAGCUGGUUGGUGAGGUAACGGCUCACCAAGGCGACGAUGCGUAGCCGACCUGAGAGGGUGAUCGGCCACACUGGGACUGAGACACGGCCCAGACUCCUACGGGAGGCAGCAGUAGGGAAUUUUCCGCAAUGGGCGAAAGCCUGACGGAGCAACGCCGCGUGAGUGAGGACGGCCUUCGGGUUGUAAAGCUCUGUUCUUCGGGAAGAACGACGGAGGGUGAAUAGCCCUUUUGUGUGACGGUACCGAAGAAGAAAGCC
rnacentral:rRNA from 1 species